rnacentral:lncRNA from 1 species
AAAGGGGAACACCAAAAUCUGAAGCUGGGACUGGUGAGGAGAGAAGUGAGCUCUGCUUGGCUUCCUAGAGCAUUUGGUUUGUAUAUGAGUCUCCUGAUGGUCCCUUCAGGUCCCCAUUGACCUUCAAUCCUUGGUCUUCUUUCCUGCUGGCUACCUUCUAAGUCAUGAAUCAGCUCUCUCAUUUCUAAUCAGCAUAGAGUUGGGCCAAAGGUAAGAGCCAAUCCCUGCUUUAUUUAAAAUUGAACAAUAGAGAACAAGAGGAGGAGAGAAAGGUGAAAAUAACCAUAAAGUAUUUCUGAAUGAGAAAGGAAGUAGAUAAACUGUUGGUCCUGGGUGUGAACUGCUCCAACCCAAGUGGCAUGCAUUAGAGGAUUUCUGGCUUCCUGCCAGGCCUACUCUUGGGACUUGGCAUUACUGAGGCUCACAUAAUGCAAGAGAGAUUUGUGGAUCUAACUUCAGGCUGGAAAGAGACAGGCUCUGUUUUAGCAUGAGUGUGUGUGUGUGUGUGUGUGUGUGUGUGUGUGUGUGUAAGAGAGAGAGAGAGAGAGAGAGAGAGAGAGAGAUUUUUUUUUUCCUUUUGCCAUUCUGGGAGUUGAACCCCUGGCCUUGUACAUGCUAGGCAAAAGCUCUAUCACUAAGCUAUAUCUGCAGCCCUAUAUGUGUGUGCAUGUGUAUAUGCCAGGAGGAAGCAUUUGCAUCAUUAUAUUUCUGCUGAUCUGAAAUAAAUGCCUAACUUCACAUUCUCCAGGAUUCAGUGGGCAGGGUCACUCGAAGACAUGUGCAGGGUGUAUCCUGGAUAACAAUGCAUGUCAGGAUGGGAGGAGAAGAGAUACUGAAAAUCUAUCUACCAGCACUGUCCUGAGGCAGUGGCUUUUCUCUGUGUCUAUAGCCAUACCACCCUGAAAGCACCAAUCUUGUCUGUGUGUGCUUGACUUCUAAAAGUUAAGACCAUUUCAUUGUCCCACAAAGGGAAUAACAUAAGAGUUUUAAUUUUGAUAUAAUAAAUUUAGUAGCAGCAUCCUGAUAUUGAUUUUUCCAGAAUCUAGAAGUCCAGAAUCAUUAUAUAGCCAAUGUAUUUGUUCACUUUAUUGUUUCCAAAAUGGGCCACCAAGAUAAACGCUGGUGUCCUUAAUCUUCCUAGAGCUUGGAGGCAAGAACUGAAAAGCAAUUUAAGGGCAUUGUAUAUAUGUGCAUUGUAUGUAUGUGUGUGUGUGUGUUUGCGUGUGUACAUGUUCAAACAGUAAUUUGGAUCAUAGGUGCAGAGAGUUGAACUACUUAUCUAUCUGUUGCUGACAGAGUAUUAGCUCUGAACUUUGAAAGCCUUGACUGUUUUUUCAAAACUUCUGAAAAGCCCCCACUCUACCCCCCACUUCCCUCCCCUUCCCCAAGCAGCCAUUCUGGUGAGUUUAGUCUGUCUCUUUGUGGAUGUACAUGAUCUUGUAAAAGCAUGCAUUGCUUUGGAUAAAUAGAUUUUAAGUUUAUGUAAAUAUUGUAU